rnacentral:misc_RNA from 1 species
AAAGUCGUAACAAGGUCUCCGUAGGUGAACCUGCGGAGGGAUCAUCAAAGGAAUUUUAGCAUGUACCUUUACGGUACACAAACAAACGAUCGCAACUACAUAUUUUACGUGGGGGGUUAUAAAAGUGCUUGCCUGAUAAAAAACAUUGGAUUGGAAAAAAGAAAUACAACUUUCAACAACGGAUCUCUUGGCUCUC